GAUGGAUGACAGAUACAUAGAUAGAUAGAUAGACAGAUAUACAGAUACAUAGAUAGAUUGUCUUACAAUGAAACUUUUACUUUCUCCCAGGUAAUGGGAUCCCAGAGACUGAGCAGAACAAUGAAAUUAAUCCUAUUGCUGUUGGCAUUGGACAUUCCAUCAUGUCUGACCCAGCUCAUAAAUGUGACUCAGGACUACAGGUUCCUAGCGGUGCCAGAGAGAAGUCCCGUGAAGCUCCAUUGCAGUCAUAGUGCUUCAGGCUUCUACUCUAUGUUCUGGUACCAACAGAAACUGGGCCAGGGUUUGACGCUUAUGGUCCUUUCAUCAGACACAAAGCCUGGGAACAUGGAGGAGGGCUUUAAAGAAUGGAGCAUGGAACGGCCCGAUACCCAGAACUCCUAUCUGAGUAUUUCUCAAGUGGGGUCUGAACACUCGGCCGUGUAUUUCUGUGCAGCCAGUGAUCACAGUCACUAACAUGGGAGUCAGUCUGGGCAAAAACCUUGAGCUGAGAGACAGAGAACAAGGAGGAGCCUGCCCAGACCAAUAGAAAUGUAUAUUCUUACAUAGGGCUGAGAGCUGUCGGCCAAAUUGCUUUCCCUUUCCUUUAAUCUCUAUUUACCCCCUGUAUCUCCCCAUUCUCUAUUACCUCCUAAAUAUUUCUGUCCUUCUCUCUUUUGCACCUGUUCCUCCAUUUCUGCAGGUGCUGAAGUCUGAAAGCAUAAGUGGGGUGUUGGGCUUGUGGGUAGAUAAGGGCUGAGGUUAUAGGUGGGGCUACUAUAUACACUAUAUAGAGUAAUAGUCAACGGCUGUCCCUAAUUUGCAUGCCCCCCCCCAGGUACUUCCUAAAUGGGUAAGGAAGUCGGAAGUGGUGGCUUUGAGAUGAAAAAGCCCUUUGUAGUAGAAAUGGUUGGAAAGAAGAGAAGCUGAGAUACAAGGGGGGAGA